CGUGUAAGUUAUGUAAGUUAUAUAUAAAGCAAGCUUUACUGAUAUUUUAUUAUUUUAAUCAUGGAAAGCCAUAUCAAAUUAUUGUGUGUCUUCUUCAUAUUAGUUGGCCUUGUUCCGAAUGGUGUAGACGGGUAUAAUGUUUGUAAUCUAGAGUCCGUAACCGGACUAUGUAGAGCACGCUUUCUGAGAUACUAUUACAAUUGGCGAACGGCACAAUGUGAACAAUUUACAUACGGUGGCUGUGGGGGAAAUGGUAACAAUUUCCGAAGUAUUGCUGAAUGCCAGGCUGCUUGUCCGUAACAUAUGUAUUCCAGAAAGAGUUAAGAAUUACAAAUGGAAACAAAAUAAAAGAUAUUUAAUAAUUCAUAAUAGAAA